rnacentral:rRNA from 1 species
GUGGGGAAUAUUGCACAAUGGGGGAAACCCUGAUGCAGCGACGCCGCGUGAGUGAAGAAGUAUCUCGGUAUGUAAAGCUCUAUCAGCAGGGAAGAAAAUGACGGUACCUGACUAAGAAGCCCCGGCUAACUACGUGCCAGCAGCCGCGGUAAUACGUAGGGGGCAAGCGUUAUCCGGAUUUACUGGGUGUAAAGGGUGCGUAGACGGUUGUGUAAGUCUGAAGUGAAAGGCGGGGGCUCAACUCCCGGACUGCUUUGGAAACUAUAUAACUAGAGUGCAGGAGGGGUAAGCGGAAUUCCUGGUGUAGCGGUGAAAUGCUUAGAUAUCAGGAGGAACACCGGCGGCGAAGGCGGCUUACUGGACUGUAACUGACGUUGAGGCACGAAAGCGUGGGGAGCAAACAGG